CCUACGGGUGGCAGCAGUGGGGGAUAUUGCACAAUGGGGGGAACCCUGAUGCAGCGACGCCGCGUGGGUGAAGGAGCUUUUCGGCGCGUAAAGCCCUAUCCGCAGGGAAGAAGAUGACGGUACCUGACCAAGAAGCCCCGGAUAACUACGUGCCAGCAGCCGCGGUAAUACGUAGGGGGCAAGAGUUAUCCGGAUGUACUGGGUGUAAAGGGGGCGGAGACGGCAAUGCAAGCCAGGGGUGAAAGCCCGGGGCCCAACGCAGGGACUGACUGUGAAACUGGAGGGCUGGAGUACAGGAGGGGAAGGCGGAAUUCCUGGUGGAGCGGUGAAAUGCGUAGAUAUUAGGAGGAACACCGGUGGCGAAGGCGGCCUGCUGGACUGUGACUGACGUUGAGGCCCGAAAGCGUGGGGAGCAAACAGGAUUAGAUACCCUAGUAGUA
rnacentral:rRNA from 1 species